GACGGAGGAUGCAAGUGUUAUCCGGAAUCACUGGGCGUAAAGCGUCUGUAGGUGGUUUAAUAAGUCAACUGUUAAAUCUUGAGGCUCAACCUCAAAAUCGCAGUCGAAACUAUUAGGCUAGAGUAUAGUAGGGGGUAAAGGGAAUUUCCAGUGGAGCGGUGAAAUGCGUAGAGAUUGGAAAGAACACCGAUGGCGAAGGCACUUUACUGGGCUAUUACUAACACUCAGAGACGAAAGCUAGGGUAGCAAAUGGG
rnacentral:rRNA from 1 species